UUUUAUUAUUAAUUUAGAUUUAUUAAUUUUUAAAUAAUUUAUUAAUAUGUUAAAUAAAAUAUUGGUUUAUAAGUAAAAAUGAUUAAAUUAGUAUAAUUUUUUGUUAGGUUAAUUAUAAUUUUUAGAUAAAGUUAAGGAAUUCGGCAAAUUUAUUUUCUGCCUGUUUAUUAAAAACAUGUCUUUUUGUAAUUAUUUAAAGUCGAGCCUGCCCUAUGAUUAUUUAAAUGGCCGCGGUAUUUUGACCGUGCAAAGGUAGCAUAAUAAUUAGUUUCUUAAUUAGAAGCUGGUAUGAAUGGUUUGACAAGAAAAUUUCUGUCUCAAUUUUAAUAUUAGAAUUUAACUUUUUAGUCAAAAGGCUUAAAUUAUUUUAAAAGACGAGAAGACCCUAUAGAAUUUUACAUUUAUUUUAUUUAGAAUUUUAUGGAUUAAUUAUUUUUAAUUAAAUUAUGUGUUUUGUUGGGGUGAUGGAAAAAUUUAAUAAACUUUUUCUUAUUUUAUUCAUUGAUUUAUGA
rnacentral:rRNA from 1 species